UCCCCGGCCAGCAGCCGCGAGCCCUGCAGCUGUGGAGAAUAGGAGCAGGGGACGAGAUGUGGGCUGGUGAUGACUCUUCCCUGACUGACUCAGUUUUCCCUCUGCCACCAGCUGUGAGAGGAAGAUAAGUUUGAACUUUCGGGGUAUCAGUGUGGUGGGUGCUUGAGGGAGGGGAGGAAGUCCCACCCCCUUUGUUGGACCCAGUAGCCUUGCCUGCCAGCUUUUCCAGGCAACAUGAGACCAGGUGCGAACAAACAAUUGCACCUGGUUUCUGGGACUCUAGGAGACUGGCUGGGAAGAACGUAAGUUAAAGAGCAAUGUUGGAAGUGUGUGUGUGUGUGUGUGUGUGUGUGUGUGUGUAUAAUUAGAUCAAUUUCUUUUGAACAAUUUAAAUUCCUCUAGGCUGUAUGUUCUAGUCAUAGGUUUCAUUGUCAAGUUUUAGUAAUGGCUACAAUGUCAUAACUGCCCUUGUAUAGUACUUCAAGUCCACCAUUUCUCAUACGUUAUGCGUGAGUGUAUAGACAUCCAAGUCCCUUUUGACUGAUCCUGUAUUUGCUUCCUACAUCUGUUUUGUAUCUGAAUUCCUAUUCUUUUAGACUUGGUUGAUUUCCCUGAGAUUUAUGCUUGGAAUUAGCUUCUAAAAGUUCAUCUCCCUCUCCUUUCCGUUUUAGUUUAAAGCCUUUUGGAUACAAUGAACCAGUUGGUUUCCAAAGUGUUCUUCCUGGUUAUUGUGAGGUGCAGUUCACUCCCUGCCAAAUAUUGUAGAUUGGGAAUCCAAAGUUUUAUUGAUGGCACAAUCUACUGCAUUCCCUCAUUGGAUGCCUCCCUCUUGUUGAGAAUACAGAAGAAAAUACCACUACCAGAAAGCCAUCUUUUUAGCUUUCAUGCCUAAUUGUUCAUAGUCUCUUCAUAUUGUUUUUAGGCUCUUUGUUGUAUCAAUCAUCCACACACGAAUGGGGAGAAAGGGAUAACAAACUGUGGACUUUACAUUUUCAACUAUUGCGGUUUCAUUUUUAGCUGUAUACUUUAACAUAUUUUGUUCUGGAAAAUAAUUACAACUCAAAAUUUAUUGUAAGCUAUUUUGGGAAAACAUGAUGUCACAUAACAAUAAAUAUGGAUUUGAGAAUGCAACAAGGGAAAAAUUAAAAUGAAAUUCAGUGGAGCAGAUAUAUCAGCAAAAUUGCACAUUUAAGUUUUUUAAGAUAAGAUUGAGAAUAUUCUUGUGUUAUAUUAAUUAACUUCUCUCUGCCCCCCAUUAGUCAAAUUGAAUUCUGAGAAGUUUCUUAAUUUAAAUUAAUUUAAUUUUAAAACAUUUUUCUCUAAUAAAUGUAUGUCCUUCUCUACUAGAUAUUUGUUGUUUUUCUCUAGGGAAAGCACUGGGGCUCAGUGCUUAAGACUCUGGGCUUGUCAGCUGGAUAGUUGGUAGCCCGGGUUCGAGACCCAAGCUCCAUGUGACAGGAUGAGCUCCUGUCCUCACCUCACUGUAUGCUUUUGAACUACCAACCUAGCAAUUUGAAAGCAUACAAGUGCAAGUGGAUAAAUAGGUACCAUUUCAGUGGGAAGCUAACUCCAGAGGUGGUAUUCAGCAGAUUCUGACCAGUUCUGGAGAACCGAUAGUGGAAAUUUUGAGUAGUUCGGAGAAUUGGAAAAUACCACCUCUAACUGCAGAUUUUACAGUAUUCUUCCCCUGCCACGCCCACCAAGCCACGCCCACAGAAUGGUAGUAAAAAAAAAAUUGAAUCCCACCACUGGCUAACUCCAUGACGUCAUGCUGUGGAAUGUCUUCAGACAGAACUGACUCAAUGGCCUUGAAAUGGAGAUGAGCACCUAUAACUGGCAAUUACUAGCAAGGUGAUACUAUAUCCACAGGAACUCCUUUAUGUAUUUUUGGGCAUUUUUUGAUGAUGGGUGUAAGGUGUUGUUUUGUAAGGACUUGAAUUAUAAUUAAUACACUGCAGAUAAAUCACUCUGACAUAUCUUCAUCAAUAAUAUAUAUUUAAAAUAAUACAUCUGUAUAUUUGAGCAUCCUUUUCAUGUUACUUUUAUAUAUGAAAGAAACUUAUUUUUGGAAAAAGUAAAUAUUCUAUUAAAUUUCUACAGAAAAAUAGACUGAGAAUGUCCAUCAUUAAUAUAUUAUGGAAUUUUAGUUCCAAAUCCAUUUGAUAUUGCAAAAUCCACGGCAAACAACACCCCAGAUUUUAGCAUUAAAUUCUUAUUGCUUCUCAACUCAAAAUAAAAUAUGCUGUUAACACAUAAUAACAUUCAACCAAAAAAUGGACAAUCCACAAUAUAUUUCAUUUUGCUUCUAAGUUAUCAGCAUUUUUUAACCAUAUCAGACAACUCACAGGUCUGUUUGGGAUUAUACAAGCACUGAGAGAAUUGUAAAUCAUUAUCAGACUAUCUGCAUUACAUUGCUAAAUCGAUUAACUAGACCUACACAGUAUUCUGUAAUAAUAUCAAGCAGUAAGUAAGCCAUAUUGUUCAUAUCCUAGUUUUAAACUGGCUGAACUUAAAGUUCAAGCUAAUUCGUACAGAGUGCAAAAGAAAAGAAUAAUUUCUAGAAUGAUGGUGUUUCUGCCAGAUAAAAGUUCUAGUGGAUGGCAUAAUAACAAUGUAACUCUAUGUUACAUCGAACUACAUAGUUUAGCACCUUUUCUGCCAAUUGAGGAGUCAAAAAUCUACCUUUGAUCUCCAUCAUAAAUACUAAUUAUUAUUUUUUUAAAAAGACUACUCUUAGCAGAUAUUGGGAAAUCUAAGUGUUAUGUCUGGGAGUCAGAAAUUCAUAAUACUCAAAAUUAAUUGGAAAAGGCUGGAGUAAAGUAUUGCUUAACUAAGUGCAUUUUCUGCUCCUUGUUUCAAAGUUUCCUUUAAGCCUGUUUUCAGCAUCUUCAAGAGGAAAUAUUCAAACCUUGUAAAGUCUAUGUCUGAGCAGCAAUAAUUUCAUUUAUAUUAAUUAUCCUUCGCAAACAUGCUACUCAUAUGACUAUCAGGUUAAUACACACACACUCACUCACGAUCGCCAAUAUUCAAUGAUGGAUAUGGCACAAGAAAAAGAAAUAUAAAUAUAUUAUAUAUUAACAACUACUAAUGAAGAAUAAGGCUGCACGAGAAUUUAAUUUGGUAAGAGUAUUGCCAAGAUGCAUAUGAUGGUGUGGAGAACAGCUCUUUAAAUGAAAAGUAUGAAUACAAGCAAAAAUAAGCAUUUUCAUUAAUGAGGGUCAUAUGAAGCAUGUAGGAGGACCAAAUUGAUAAAAACUUUCAUGUACUAUAUGAAAUAAUAAAACUAUAAUUGCUUAAAAUCUGAAAAUUUAAGGUACUCCUUCAGAUUCUGAGAUCCUAAACUGUAACUUACUUACCUGGGAAGUUAAUUUAUCAGUAUUAAUGUUUAUGCAAAAUUGAUUUUCUAGCUGUCUGUCUGAUGCUGACUCAAUAUAACCAACAAUAACUAGUAUUAUACAUACGUUAAAUCUUCUAAAUUGAAAAAUAAAUUUCCUAUUCUUAUCUCUGU